CCGAGGUCGAGGACCUACAGCGGCGGCUGGCCGAGGCUACCCGGCGUGGGGAUGCCCUGGCCCGGCGGCUGGACCAGGCCAACCGCGCCCGCGGGGAGCUGGAGGAGGCACUACGGGCCUGCCAGGGCCGCCAGAGCCGGCUUCAGACGCAACUGAUGACCCUGAAGACUGAGAUUGACGAGGCCAAGGCACAGGGGACCCAGAUGGGGGCUGAGAACGGGGCGCUCACAGAAGCCCUGGCGCGCUGGGAGGCGGCGGCCACGGAGUCUGCGCGGCGGUUGGACGAGGCACAGCAGCGCGCACGCGCGGCCGAGGCCGAAGCCGAAGCUUGCGCGGCCCGGGAGGCGG